AAAGGAAUAGACGGGGGCCCGCACAAGCGGAGGAACAUGUGGUUUAAUUCGAUGAUACGCGAGGAACCUUACCCGGGCUUGAACUGCAGGAGAACGAUACAGAGAUGUUGAGGUCCUUCGGGACUCCUGCGGAGGUGCUGCAUGGUUGUCGUCAGCUCGUGCCGUGAGGUGUCGGCUUAAGUGCCAUAACGAGCGCAACCCUUGUCCUCAGUUGCCAUCAGUUCGGCUGGGCACUCUGUGGAUACUGCCACCGCAAGGUGUGAGGAAGGUGGGGAUGACGUCAAAUCAGCACGGCCCUUACGUCCGGGGCUACACACGUGUUACAAUGGCGCAUACAGAGAGUCGGCCGCCGGCAACGUCGGUCCAAUCCUUAAAAUGCGUCCUAGUUCGGAUUGGGGUCUGCAACCCGACCCCAUGAAGCUGGAUUCGCUAGUAAUCGCGCAUCAGCCAUGGCGCGGUGAAUACGUUCCCGGGCCUUGUACACACCGCCCGU
rnacentral:rRNA from 1 species